GUAGGUAGGAUUGUGAAGAUCCAGGACUUAGCCAAAGAAUUUGAACAUCGACAACUUCUCCUAAGCCCCGCCCUCCACAAGGGAGAUUGAAGGCGUGUGCAUGAGCAGAGGUGGUGCAUGACACC